UGGCUCUGUAAUUUCUUGAUCUUGAUAACAUGGAGGCCAGGCGCUGUGCUAGAGAGGGAAAUUAGCAUCAUUUUUGUAAUGGAGUUGUUGCAAUGGAUUACCUCGGUGGGCUUUCAGAAGGCCUUCCUUCAUGGUUACAUACCAAGCUUUGACUAGCGUGUUGAUGACGUCAUUGAGCAUUACUCAAAAUUUAAAGACUGCCUAUGUUGUCAUCUCUUACAAACAUGAACCCGUUUACAGACUGUCCUGGAGUUGCUGAAUGCCACAAAAGAGAUAGAGGGACUACUAGAAUAGACCUCCUUAGCGCACCACCUUUGUUACCAAGGGACCCACAACAAUAGAGAGGAGAAGAAGAAACAUGGAGAAAGCGAAGUAAAGGAAGAAAAAGAGAAAAUCAGUAUAUGCUUUGAUGGAGUGAUGAAGCGAGUGAUAUAUAGUGAGGGAAGCUAGCAUGCAUGGCUUAGCACAUAAUUCACACUAGUAGAAAGGUGACUUCUUCUCCCACUGUAUUAAAAUGUGAUUAUAUGUAAAUGUUACAAGAAUCAAACAUUAUGUUCUAAAUUUA
rnacentral:misc_RNA from 1 species